rnacentral:rRNA from 1 species
AGCAACAAAUGCCCUGCUUCCAGGAAAAGCCUCUAAGCAUCAGGUAACAUCAAAUCGUACCCCAAACCGACACAGGUGGUCAGGUAGAGAAUACCAAGGCGCUUGAGAGAACUCGGGUGAAGGAACUAGGCAAAAUGGUGCCGUAACUUCGGGAGAAGGCACGCUGACACGUAGGUGAAGUGAUUUACUCAUGGAGCUGAAGUCAGUCGAAGAUACCAGCUGGCUGCAACUGUUUAUUAAAAACACAGCACUGUGCAAACACGAAAGUGGACGUAUACGGUGUGACGCCUGCCCGGUGCCGGAAGGUUAAUUGAUGGGGUCAGCGCAAGCGAAGCUCCUGAUCGAAGCCCCGGUAAACGGCGGCCGUAACUAUAACGGUCCUAAGGUAGCGAAAUUCCUUGUCGGGUAAGUUCCGACCUGCACGAAUGGCGUAAUGAUGGCCAGGCUGUCUCCACCCGAGACUCAGUGAAAUUGAACUCGCUGUGAAGAUGCAGUGUACCCGCGGCAAGACGGAAAGACCCCGUGAACCUUUACUAUAGCUUGACACUGAACAUUGAGCCUUGAUGUGUAGGAUAGGUGGGAGGCUUUGAAGCGUGGACGCCAGUCUGCGUGGAGCCGACCUUGAAAUACCACCCUUUAAUGUUUGAUGUUCUAACGUGGACCCGUAAUCCGGGUUGCGGACAGUGUCUGGUGGGUAGUUUGACUGGGGCGGUCUCCUCCUAAAGAGUAACGGAGGAGCACGAAGGUUGGCUAAUCCUGGUCGGACAUCAGGAGGUUAGUGCAAUGGCAUAAGCCAGCUUGACUGCGAGCGUGACGGCGCGAGCAGGUGCGAAAGCAGGUCAUAGUGAUCCGGUGGUUCUGAAUGGAAGGGCCAUCGCUCAACGGAUAAAAGGUACUCCGGGGAUAACAGGCUGAUACCGCCCAAGAGUUCAUAUCGACGGCGGUGUUUGGCACCUCGAUGUCGGCUCAUCACAUCCUGGGGCUGAAGUAGGUCCCAAGGGUAUGGCUGUUCGCCAUUUAAAGUGGUACGCGAGCUGGGUUUAGAACGUCGUGAGACAGUUCGGUCCCUAUCUGCCGUGGGCGCUGGAAGACUGAGGGGGGCUGCUCCUAGUACGAGAGGACCGGAGUGGACGCAUCACUGGUGUUCGGGUUGUCAUGCCAAUGGCACUGCCCGGUAGCUAAAUGCGGAAAAGAUAAGUGCUGAAAGCAUCUAAGCACGAAACUUGCCCCGAGAUGAGUCUUCCCUGAGAUUUUGAGUCUCCUGAAGGAACGUUAAAGACGAUGACGUUGAUAGGCCGGGUGUGUAAGCGCAGCGAUGCGCUGAGCUAACCGGUACUAAUGAACCGUGAGGCUUAACCUU